ACCUCAGUCACGUCCUCCUUCAACACGGAAUUCGAACUUCAGCAGCUGAAAGAUUUCAUGGACAUGUACCCGGACAGAGGGUCGGGUGCCCGGGCAUUCGACCAGGCAGUGGAGAAGACCCAGAGCAAUGUGGCCUGGAUGAAGAAGCACUAUGACACCCUGAAAUCUUGGCUCGCCACCCAGAAACUUGCAGUCUGAGAGACAGGGUGGCGGGGAGGGAGGAAGGUAGGGAAGGAGAGAAGUAGUUCAGCGACUGGAGGUGCAUUGACCUGUGACAGUUCUCUACCUUUGCUGGGUGAAUGCGCAGUUAUAUGGAUUUGGGGGUCGACAUCGACAGGCCACGAGUUCAGACUGUGAAAAACGUUUUCAGACCACCGGAAUAGAAGAAAAUAGAUGCAUCAUUAUAUAGUUUUCAUCAACAAAUCUUUUACUGUAUGGAACGCGGGACUACAGUGCUCUGUGUGCGUGCAUUUGUGAGUGUGUGUGUGGGUGCACGAGCGCGUGUGAGCUCAGCCCCCUCUCUCCAUGGCCUCAUAUGGUAGGGGGCAAAGGGCAGCCUCGUGGUUAACCUGUGAAGACAACAGUAAACAUUGAAAUUUUGUACUUAAGCAGACGCAAGCAGUUAAAAGGUUAAAGGAUGAUUAAAUCUGUUUACCCAGGGUGGUCACGGUCAUGAAGUAGUCAAACCAUUAACCCUUAAAAUUGCACUUAAGCUCUGUUACAGAAUUCCGGCUAACUGGCAUUUUGUUGUCUGCGGGGAUUUGAGGAAUUCGAUCAGUUGAGUGGGGACUGCAGAAUAUUGCAAAUGAUCCGGAGUGAUGAUCAUUGUUAAUGCCGGGUGUGCUAGUCCAGCUUGAUGUUAUGCUGGGCUGUGCUCUUCACAUUUACUGUUCUUGUAUGGCAAGGUAGCUUUGUUGUUGUGGAUGUUUUUCUGUGUAGACUAGUAGUUACUCUGUGUGAGUUGUUAUUGACAUUGGAACUUCAUCGCUCUUUCUGAUGUUAUUGUGUGGGGGGACAGUUUUAAUGAAAUCUUUAAGGAUGUUUAUAUUUUUUGCACUCUGUGUUUCCCUUUUCUGUUCAUUCAUUAAAAAUUUCAUUGUUUCAA